GACAGAGGGGGCAAGCGUUGCUCGGAAUUACUGGGCGUAAAGGGCGCGUAGGCGGCCUGCUAAGUCGAAUGUGAAAUCUCCGGGCUCAACCCGGGAACUGCGUCCGAUACUGGCAGGCUUGAAUCCGGGAGAGGGAUGUGGAAUUCCAGGUGUAGCGGUGAAAUGCGUAGAUAUCUGGAGGAACACCGGUGGCGAAGGCGGCAUCCUGGACCGGUAUUGACGCUGAUGCGCGAAAGCCAGGGGAGCAAACGGG
rnacentral:rRNA from 1 species